rnacentral:rRNA from 1 species
ACUUAAAUUGAAGAGUUUGAUCAUGGCUCAGAUUGAACGCUGGCGGCAGGCCUAACACAUGCAAGUCGAGCGGUAGCACAGAGAGCUUGCUCUCGGGUGACGAGCGGCGGACGGGUGAGUAAUGUCUGGGAAACUGCCUGAUGGAGGGGGAUAACUACUGGAAACGGUAGCUAAUACCGCAUAACGUCGCAAGACCAAAGUGGGGGACCUUCGGGCCUCAUGCCAUCAGAUGUGCCCAGAUGGGAUUAGCUAGUAGGUGGGGUAACGGCUCACCUAGGCGACGAUCCCUAGCUGGUCUGAGAGGAUGACCAGCCACACUGGAACUGAGACACGGUCCAGACUCCUACGGGAGGCAGCAGUGGGGAAUAUUGCACAAUGGGCGCAAGCCUGAUGCAGCCAUGCCGCGUGUGUGAAGAAGGCCUUCGGGUUGUAAAGCACUUUCAGCGGGGAGGAAGGCGGUGAGGUUAAUAACCUCACCGAUUGACGUUACCCGCAGAAGAAGCACCGGCUAACUCCGUGCCAGCAGCCGCGGUAAUACGGAGGGUGCAAGCGUUAAUCGGAAUUACUGGGCGUAAAGCGCACGCAGGCGGUCUGUCAAGUCGGAUGUGAAAUCCCCGGGCUCAACCUGGGAACUGCAUUCGAAACUGGCAGGCUAGAGUCUUGUAGAGGGGGGUAGAAUUCCAGGUGUAGCGGUGAAAUGCGUAGAGAUCUGGAGGAAUACCAGUGGCGAAGGCGGCCCCCUGGACAAAGACUGACGCUCAGGUGCGAAAGCGUGGGGAGCAAACAGGAUUAGAUACCCUGGUAGUCCACGCUGUAAACGAUGUCGAUUUGGAGGUUGUGCCCUUGAGGCGUGGCUUCCGGAGCUAACGCGUUAAAUCGACCGCCUGGGGAGUACGGCCGCAAGGUUAAAACUCAAAUGAAUUGACGGGGGCCCGCACAAGCGGUGGAGCAUGUGGUUUAAUUCGAUGCAACGCGAAGAACCUUACCUGGUCUUGACAUCCACAGAACUUUCCAGAGAUGGAUUGGUGCCUUCGGGAACUGUGAGACAGGUGCUGCAUGGCUGUCGUCAGCUCGUGUUGUGAAAUGUUGGGUUAAGUCCCGCAACGAGCGCAACCCUUAUCCUUUGUUGCCAGCGGUCCGGCCGGGAACUCAAAGGAGACUGCCAGUGAUAAACUGGAGGAAGGUGGGGAUGACGUCAAGUCAUCAUGGCCCUUACGACCAGGGCUACACACGUGCUACAAUGGCAUAUACAAAGAGAAGCGACCUCGCGAGAGCAAGCGGACCUCAUAAAGUAUGUCGUAGUCCGGAUUGGAGUCUGCAACUCGACUCCAUGAAGUCGGAAUCGCUAGUAAUCGUAGAUCAGAAUGCUACGGUGAAUACGUUCCCGGGCCUUGUACACACCGCCCGUCACACCAUGGGAGUGGGUUGCAAAAGAAGUAGGUAGCUUAACCUUCGGGAGGGCGCUUACCACUUUGUGAUUCAUGACUGGGGUGAAGUCGUAACAAGGUAACCGUAGGGGAACCUGCGGUUGGAUCACCUCCUUACCUUAAAGAA